GCAGAUAGGCCGGGAAGCUAAGGGUUUCCUGUUCGCAAAUCCCUUUCAGGCGAGCCAAUGCCAACAGGGUGUCAUGGGGUUCUGAUGGGCCCGUGCUGAAGCGUAGACGUUUUGCCUCAGGUGAUAGCUCAUCAUGUGAACCAGGCCAGGCCGGAAGGAGCAACCUUAAGCAUGGUAAAGCUAUGCUCUUGAGAUACAGAGCCGAGCCGAAGUACGGACAACCUCUCUUGAUCUCAUGUAGCUCUGUUGGCCUCUGC
rnacentral:SRP_RNA from 1 species